rnacentral:sRNA from 1 species
UCGUAGCCCGGAUAGCAGCGGCAUCCUUCUUGUGGCUCCUUUAGUCACAGGAAGAUAUAGCGAAUAGCCGGAAAUGGC